UGCUUGAUCCUGUUACUAAUACACUUGUCUCGGAGAUUAAACCAUGCAUGACUCAGUACACACCGAAUUAAGACGAAACCGCGAAUGGCUCAUUAAGUUAGUUACGCUUUAUUUGAUUGCAGCUAUAUUUACUUGGACAACUGUGAUAAUUUUAGAGCUAAUACAUGCAAACCGUAGUCCCUUCCAGGAAUGGAGGGAAUUUAUUAGGUUAAAACCGAUCGGUGGAUUGUAGUAAAUUGAACAACGCGUACCACGAGUGAAAGAUCGUUUCAGCUAACAGAAAUAGCGAAGGUAUUGUUAAACCGGUAGUACUGUAAAUAUGUACAGUAGUUUGAAUUUGCUCCGUCUGUUUAGAGUUUCAUAAUUGUACGAGUGUAAAAUAGACGGGGACAAUUCCUGUACUCUAUUUACAGUAUAGAAAUUCUUCUCGGUGUACAUACAUCUCCGAGCUUGUCGAGCAACGUGCAACCACUUAACCGUGCAAGACGAAUAACCCACCCUUUGUGGACAGUAUUUGCACGGUGAAAUUUGCGCGCUCGCCAAAACAAUAUCUUGGCAAACGCCCCGCUACAUUCUCAUUUUUCAAAUUUUCAAUAUUCGUCUAAUACACGUGUAUCAAGCUUGUCGAACUUUCCGGUAUUUUACAGACUUCGACGCUGUAACGUCGAAGUAAUUUUUCUGUUGAUAC
rnacentral:ncRNA from 1 species